rnacentral:rRNA from 1 species
GAUGAACGCUGGCGGCGUGCCUAAUACAUGCAAGUCGAGCGAACAGACGAGGAGCUUGCUCCUCUGACGUUAGCGGCGUACGGGUGAGUAACACGUGGAUAACCUACCUAUAGGACUGGGAUAACUUAGGGAAACCGGAGCUAAUACCGGAUAAUAUAUUGAACCGCAUGGUUCAAUAGUGAAAGACGGUUUUGCUGUCACUUAUAGAUGUAUCCGCGCCGCUUUAGAUAGUUGGUAAGGUAACGGCUUACCAAGGCGACGAUGCGUAGCCGACCUGAGAGGGUGUUCGGCCACACUGGAACUGAGACGCGGUCCAGACUCCGACGGGAGGCAGCAGUAGGGAAGCUUCCGCAAUGGGCGAAAGCCUGACGGAGCAACGCCGCGUGAGUGAUGAAGGGCUUCGGAUCGUAAAACGCUGUUAUUAGUGAAGAACAAAUGUGUAAGUAACUAUGCACGUCUUGACGGUACCUAAUCAGAAAGCCACGGCUAACUACGUG